UACGUAGGGUGCGAGCGUUAAUCGGAAUUACUGGGCGUAAAGCGUGCGCAGGCGGUUUUGUAAGACAGAUGUGAAAUCCCCGGGCUUAACCUGGGAACUGCGUUUGUGACUGCAAGGCUAGAGUACGGCAGAGGGGGGUGGAAUUCCACGUGUAGCAGUGAAAUGCGUAGAGAUGUGGAGGAACACCGAUGGCGAAGGCAGCCCCCUGGGCCGAUACUGACGCUCAUGCACGAAAGCGUGGGUAGCAAACAGG
rnacentral:rRNA from 1 species